rnacentral:rRNA from 1 species
CAGGCCUAACACAUGCAAGUCGAACGGUAACAGGAAGAAGCUUGCUUCUUUGCUGACGAGUGGCGGACGGGUGAGUAAUGUCUGGGAAACUGCCUGAUGGAGGGGGAUAACUACUGGAAACGGUAGCUAAUACCGCAUAACGUCGCAAGACCAAAGAGGGGGACCUUCGGGCCUCUUGCCAUCGGAUGUGCCCAGAUGGGAUUAGCUAGUAGGUGGGGUAACGGCUCACCUAGGCGACGAUCCCUAGCUGGUCUGAGAGGAUGACCAGCCACACUGGAACUGAGACACGGUCCAGACUCCUACGGGAGGCAGCAGUGGGGAAUAUUGCACAAUGGGCGCAAGCCUGAUGCAGCCAUGCCGCGUGUAUGAAGAAGGCCUUCGGGUUGUAAAGUACUUUCAGCGGGGAGGAAGGGAGUAAAGUUAAUACCUUUGCUCAUUGACGUUACCCGCAGAAGAAGCACCGGCUAACUCCGUGCCAGCAGCCGCGGUAAUACGGAGGGUGCAAGCGUUAAUCGGAAUUACUGGGCGUAAAGCGCACGCAGGCGGUUUGUUAAGUCAGAUGUGAAAUCCCCGGGCUCAACCUGGGAACUGCAUCUGAUACUGGCAAGCUUGAGUCUCGUAGAGGGGGGUAGAAUUCCAGGUGUAGCGGUGAAAUGCGUAGAGAUCUGGAGGAAUACCGGUGGCGAAGGCGGCCCACUGGACGAAGACUGACGCUCAGGUGCGAAAGCGUGGGGAGCAAACAGGAUUAGAUACACUGGUAGUCCACGCCGUAAACGAUGUCGACUUGGAGGUUGUGCCCUUGAGGCGUGGCUUCCGGAGCUAACGCGUUAAGUCGACCGCCUGGGGAGUACGGC